rnacentral:rRNA from 1 species
UUACAGGGCGUGAACCGUUAAUUGGCAAACGAAUCGGAGCCACGAAGUCGUUUCGCUGUCUGGGUCAGGUUCAGUUCGGAACGAAAGUUCCGGGCGUAUUCCUGUGCUCGGCCAAUGUAAGCGUACACUGCAACCAGUUAGACAAUUGGCGAUGGGCCAAGUUGGGUUUAUACCUCGGUGUAAGCUUAACGAAGUGCUUGUUUGUCUCAGCUAGUAGUUGUAUUGUGUAUCCUCGGAUGCAUAGUGCGGCUGAGUUGAGAUAAGUGAACUAUCACCAAAUACUGACUGGCACAAUGAAAAUCGCGAAUGAGCGUUAUAUAAAAUGCAGCUACUUGUAUCUAGUGUCUACACACACGACCAUAGGGUUUAAGUUCGGCAUCUUUGAAUUUGGACUUGCUUGCUACCAAUGGGGCAACUCUUGGUGCUUGUAUUGUAUCAUCUAAUCGGGUGUUGACUUGAUUUUAUGUUGUUCGGUUGUGCUACGAUCGGAUGUUAGAUUGCAAAGUAGUUUGCCAUUUGAUUGGCAGUGAGUAGGUCGGCUUUCCGAACGACCCGUCUUGAAACACGGACCAAGGAGUCUAAUUAGGCAUCGAGUCGAUCGGUCUUGAAUAGGCCAGACUGGUGGGCUUCGGCCCAUCGAUUGAAGGCGUAGAGAAAUCAAAUCGUGUGAUCGUUGGAACAAAACCAGUUCUAACGCGCAACAUGUGCCUGCUCGUAUGGCAAUGUUAGUAAUAACUUGCUGGGCGGAGCAAAGAGAUGCUUGAUUGGUACCCGAAAGAUGUGGAAACUAU